rnacentral:lncRNA from 1 species
CAAACCCUGCGUGAUCAGCUGUGCACUGAAGACGAAGUGAGUUCCUGCUCCACAGCCCAGAAACUCCUGCAGAUUUACAAGCAGCUGCGUAACCCUAGCCUUGUCCUGUUGUGACCAGCUGCUGGCCAGCUCCACGUCACUGUGGGACACACUGGGGGCUUGCCUGGCAGUACCCCUCAACUGUAACCUCUGCACCCCUGAUGAGAAUUGUCGUCACCCAAGUACUCAGGCCAUGGAGACACAGGGUUUCUGGAAUCCAGACUUCCAAGUUUGGGACGGUUCUGCUGCUGACCCCAGCACACCCCAGGAGCGCUUGCUGCCUCUCUGGGGCCACCAGGGGGCAGAGUGCUCACUUCACUGCAACCAAAGCACAAAGACCUUGGGAGGGCUCCCAUUGAUGCCAGUGGGAAGGCUGCCUCCAGCACUGUGCUGCUCUUCAGCCCCACAUCCCAGCCUCCUCCUUCAGCCGGGCCCUGCCCUGCCCUGCUGCUGGUGCUGUCGUUACCGUGGGAGGGGAGCGUGUCUGCAGAGCUCUGCCUGCUCCUGUUGUCUGUCUGUGAGGUGCUGUGCUGACAAGCUGCCUUUCUGUGAAGUUCCAGGUGUCCACUGAGGUUGACUCACUUCUGCCCUCCACCUUCUCUGUUGAGCGAGCUCUGUGCAGUUGGGUGGAUAACCCUUCCCAGGUUCCCUUUGCCCACUGACGGAAGGACAGUCCUCAGUGCCCAGGCACCCUCCACCAAGGCUUCUGUGGCUAUUUGGGGCCAAAGGUCUGCCCUCUGAGGUCUGGCCAGACGGAGGCCACUGGCUCUUGCCACCCUCACCUCACAGGGCAUUUACAUGGGAGUCUGUCCAUCCUACAGGACAAAGUUCUCCAUAAAGGAAGUUAGGAAGUGGAAUAGGCCCACUGUAGACACCACCUUGAGUCGAUAUAAGGUCGGCUUUUGUAACAAGGUGCUUGUUCCCAGGGUUGCCAGUUCACUUGGCCCUGAUGGCCUGCUAAGAGCCUGGCCACAGCUUGUCCCCAAGGCUACUCUUCAGUGGGAACCCCGGCUCCUUUGUGUACUGCCCUCUCAACAAGUUAGGGUGGGUCAAGCCACAGGGUAUAAAGCCUUGGAAAAAGGA